UGAAGCGCCCGCCCACCCUCAUUCACAUGCUCAUCAUGGAGGAAUAACAGGUAUCUGCCUUGCAGAGAGAGGAGGACAGGCAUAUUCCCAUUCACAGCGACAUCUUGAAACGUGGUCAGACCAUUCGCGAAUGUGAAUUAUACAGUACCAAAGCAGACAAUCACGAUGAAGCAUUUUCUAAGGUUUGACUACAAAUUCAUUGCAUGCCGAUGGGGAGUCGAGUCUAUCCUGUGAGCAGUAACUCUCAGCAACCGGACUCAAACAGGGUACUGACCCAGUUGCUGGUGUUCCUUU